rnacentral:rRNA from 1 species
ACAUGGCUCCUUGUUUUCUUACAUAGGGAGUCGGACCUGCUCGGUGAAUAUAUUUUAACAGCCGCGGUACUCUGACCGUGCAAAGGUAGCAUAAUCAUUUGCCUUAUAAUUGAAGGCUAGUAUGAAUGGUUUGACGAGAAUUAAGCUGUCUCUUUUUAACUAAAUAUAACUUUAUUAAGAGGUGAAGAAGCCUGUAUUUUAUUGAAAGACAAGAAGACCCUAUCGAGCUUUAAAGAAUUUAGUGGAUUUACCAUAUAUUAAUAAAAAAGUAAAGCAACUAAAUAUUUUGGUUGGGGCGACUGAGGAACAAACAAAGCUUCCUUUAUGCUAAUUAAAACUUACAAGUAUUGAUCCAAUUUAUUUGAUUAAAGAAAUUAGUUACCGUAGGGAUAACAGCAUAAUCUCCUUUGAGAGUUCUCAUCGAAAAGGGGGUUUGUGACCUCGAUGUUGGACCAGAAUACCCAGAAGAUGCAGCCGUCUUCAAUGGUUGGUCUGUUCGACCAUUAAAAUUCUACAUGA